rnacentral:rRNA from 1 species
CAAUGGACGAAAGUCUGAUGCAGCAACGCCGCGUGGAGGAUGACANAUUUCGGUGCGUAAACUCCUUUUAUAUAGGAAGAUAAUGACGGUACUAUAUGAAUAAGCACCGGCUAACUCCGUGCCAGCAGCCGCGGUAAUA